rnacentral:rRNA from 1 species
AUUGAACGCUGGCGGCAGGCCUAACACAUGCAAGUCGAACGGUAACAGGGAUCAGCUUGCUGAUUCGCUGACGAGUGGCGGACGGGUGAGUAAUGUCUGGGAAACUGCCUGAUGGAGGGGGAUAACUACUGGAAACGGUAGCUAAUACCGCAUAACGUCGCAAGCCCAAAGAGGGGGACCUUCGGGCCUCUUGCCAUCGGAUGUGCCCAGAUGGGAUUAGCUAGUAGGUGCGGUAACGGCUCACCUAGGCGACGAUCCCUAGCUGGUCUGAGAGGAUGACCAGCCACACUGGAACUGAGACACGGUCCAGACUCCUACGGGAGGCAGCAGUGGGGAAUAUUGCACAAUGGGCGCAAGCCUGAUGCAGCCAUGCCGCGUGUAUGAAGAAGGCCUUCGGGUUGUAAAGUACUUUCAGCGGGGAGGAAGGGAGUAAAGUUAAUACCUUUGCUCAUUGACGUUACCCGCAGAAGAAGCACCGGCUAACUCCGUG